UGUGGAUGACGUCAAAUCAGCACGGCCCUUACGUCCAGGGCUACACACGUGUUACAAUGGCCGGUACAGAGGGCAGCUACACAGUGAUGUGAUGCGAAUCUCAAAAACCGGUCUCAGUUCGGAUCGAAGUCUGCAACCCGACUUCGUGAAGCUGGAUUCGCUAGUAAUCGCGCAUCAGCCAUGGCGCGGUGAAUACGUUCCCGGGCCUUGUACACACCGUCCGUCAAACCAUGGAAGCCGGGGGUACCUGAAGUCUGUGACCGCAGGACGGCCUAGGUAAUCUGGUACUAGGGUAAGUCGUACAAGUACCAAGGCGAUUCCAGCACACUGCGCCGU
rnacentral:rRNA from 1 species